GGCGCCGUCGUCUAGAGGCCCAGGAUGCCUCCCUUUCAAGGAGGAGAUCAAGAGUUCGAAUCUCUUCGGCGCUA
rnacentral:tRNA from 1 species